UACGGGGGGGGGCAAGCUUGUUCGGAAUUACUGGGCGUAAAGGGCUCGUAGGCGGCCAACUAAGUCAGACGUGAAAUCUCUCGGCUUAACCGGGGAACUGCAUCUGAUACUGGAUGGCUUGAGUUCGGGAGAGGGAUGCGGAAUUCCAGGUGUAGCGGUGAAAUACGUAGAUAUCAAGAGGAAUACCGGUGGCGAAGGCGGCUAUCUGGCUAGACACUGACACUCAGACCCGAAAGCGUGGGGAUCAAACAGG
rnacentral:rRNA from 1 species